rnacentral:rRNA from 1 species
CGCCUGUUUAUCAAAAACAUCUCCUCUUGAUUAUGUAAUAAUUAUAAGAGGUAGGCCCUGCCCGGUGCUUAUGUAAACGGCGGCCGUUCGUAGCGGUUUUAAUGUAGCGCAAUUUCUUGCCCUUUAAUUGGGGGAGGGAGGAAUGGGUUGACGUUGGGGGGUCUGUCUCCUUAGCAGUUUGUAGAAAUUUUCUUCUUAGUGAAAAGCCUGAGAUAGUUUUAAAAGACGAGAAGACCCUGUCGAGCUUGAUGAUCAUUUGGUUUGCUCUUAGAGAGGGGGCUUUGGUGAGAAAUUUAGUUGGGGCAACUCUGGAGAAAGCAAAACCUCUGGACACUUAUAGUGAGGAUCCAUUAUUUAAUGACUUACAUUAGAAGAAGUUACCGCAGGGAUAACAGCGCGGCGCUCCUUGAGAGGUCUUAUCAAAGGGAGAGAGUGCGACCUCGAUGUUGGAUUAGGAUUACUCGCCGGCGCAGCAGCUGGAAGAGUGGGUCUGUUCGCCCCUUAAAAUCCUACAUGAUCUGAGUUC